rnacentral:rRNA from 1 species
UACGGAGGAUCCGAGCGUUAUCCGGAUUUAUUUGGUUUAAAGGGUGCGCAGGCGGGAGAUUAAGUCGGCGGUGAAAUUUUGCAGCUCAACUGUAAAAGUGCCUUCGAAACUGGCUUCCUUGAGUGUAGAUGAAGUAGGCGGAAUUUGUGGUGUAGCGGUGAAAUGCAUAGAUAUCACGAGGAACUCCGAUUGCGCAGGCAGCUUACUAAACCAUAACUGACGCUCAGGCACGAAGGCGUGGGGAUCAAACAGGAUUAGAUACCCGCGUA